rnacentral:rRNA from 1 species
UACGUAGGGUGCAAGCGUUGUCCGGAAUUAUUGGGCGUAAAGAGCUCGUAGGCGGUUUGUCGCGUCUGCUGUGAAACGCGGGGCUCAACUCCGCGCCUGCAGUGGGUACGGGCAGACUAGAGUGCAGUAGGGGAGACUGGAAUUCCUGGUGUAGCGGUGGAAUGCGCAGAUAUCAGGAAGAACACCCGUGGCUAAGGCGGCUCUCUAGUACGGUACUGACGCUGAGACGCGAAAGCGUGGGGAGCGAACAGG